rnacentral:tRNA from 1 species
GCCGAAGUGGCGGAAUUGGUAGACGCGCUAGAUUCAGGUUCUAGUCCUCUUUUGAGGGUGGGGGUUCGAGUCCCCCCUUCGGCACCA